rnacentral:rRNA from 1 species
AUUGAACGCUGGCGGCAUGCCUUACACAUGCAAGUCGAACGGCAGCGGACCUUCGGGUGCCGGCGAGUGGCGAACGGGUGAGUAAAGUAUCGGAACGUACCUUUCAGUGGGGGAUAACGUAGCGAAAGUUACGCUAAUACCGCAUAUUCUGUGAGCAGGAAAGCAGGGGAUCGCAAGACCUUGCGCUGAUUGAGCGGCCGAUAUCAGAUUAGCUAGUUGGUGAGGUAAAGGCUCACCAAGGCGACGAUCUGUAGCGGGUCUGAGAGGAUGAUCCGCCACACUGGAACUGAGACACGGUCCAGACUCCUACGGGAGGCAGCAGUGGGGAAUUUUGGACAAUGGGGGCAACCCUGAUCCAGCCAUGCCGCGUGAGUGAAGAAGGCCUUCGGGUUGUAAAGCUCUUUCGGCCGGGAAGAAAUCGCGCCAGUUAAUACCUGGUGUGGAUGACGGUACUGGAAUAAGAAGCACCGGCUAACUACGUGCCAGCCGCCGCAGUAAAAC